GGGUAUAUAGCUCCGUGCUUAGAGCAGCUAACUGCAGAUCAGCAGGUCCCUGGUUCACAACCAGGCGUGCCCU
rnacentral:tRNA from 1 species